GCCAUGGUGGUUCAGUGGUAGAACUCUCGCCUUCCACGCAGGAGGCCCAGGUUCAAUCCCGGCCAAUGCA
rnacentral:tRNA from 1 species